AGGCUUUUCGGGGAGGAGCCGCGGAGGUGACCACUGCGGGACCCACCGGAGCCGCUCGGCGCUUCCCAGAGGAGGGAUCGAUCCAUCGGGGCAUCGGGAGCCCUGGUCAAGAUGUAAGCGCUCAUAACGCUCUAGUGCGUGCCUGCCUGCCUGCCUGCCUGCGGCCAGGCCAGGCUCCCUGCCAAGAAGGUCAUGGACUCACCCUCUGACACUAGGGAGAGAACUAUCAAUGGCAGGCAGCAGCUGCAGAAAGCAACACUAAGAGCCGGCUUCACGCUCAGGGGAGAAUGCCACGUCUCCUCCUCAUGGUUUCCGGUGCUCUACACAGAGGAACUUCUCUUGUAAUGAACUAUAGAAAUAACCCCUGAAAGUAUAGUCUUUCAUUAAAGAGA